CAAAAGCUCAAAUUUGAAAUCUGGCUCUUUCAGAGUCCGAGUUGUAAUUUGAAGAAGGUAUCUUUGGGUCUGGCUCUUGUCUAUGUUUCUUGGAACAGAACGUCACAGAGGGUGAGAAUCCCGUGCGAUGAGAUGAUCCAGGCCUAUGUAAAGUUCCUUCGAAGAGUCGAGUUGUUUGGGAAUGCAGCUCUAAGUGGGUGGUAAAUUCCAUCUAAAGCUAAAUAUUGGCGAGAGACCGAUAGCGAACAAGUACAGUGAUGGAAAGAUGAAAAGAACUUUGAAAAGAGAGUGAAAAAGUACGUGAAAUUGUUGAAAGGGAAGGGCUUGAGAUCAGACUUGGUAUUUUGUAUGUUACUUCUUCGGGGGUGGCCUCUACAGUUUAUCGGGCCAGCAUCAGUUUGGGCGGUAGGAGAAUUGCGUUGGAAUGUGGCACGGCUUCGGUUGUGUGUUAUAGCCUUCGUCGAUACUGCCAGCCUAGACUGAGGACUGCGGUUUAUACCUAGGAUGUUGGCAUAAUGAUCUUAAGUCGCCCGUCUUGAAACACGGACCAAGGAGUCUAACGUCUAUGCGAGUGUUUGGGUGUAAAACCCGUACGCGUAAUGAAAGUGAACGUAGGUG
rnacentral:rRNA from 1 species